GAACAAUUUUGGGUGCUCCUCCAGCAUUAUAAGCUUAUUUUUAUUAAGCUUUAUGGGUCUUUAGGGUUGAUUGAUAAUAAUAUUAAUACAAUAUGUUUUAAAUAUACGGUCCACACAUAUAGGGUUUCAACCAAUGUGUUAUCUAUUUUGGAAAAAAAAAAUUUGUAUCAUUGUAUUAAGUCAUCAAGUUGCUAUGGUACUAUGGCUUUUUCAUAUAAAAACAUUUAAUCAGCGUAAUGUUUCAACAUUCCAGAAAACAAUUCCUUACAUCUCACCUUGGCGCCAAGCUUGGCACACAAAAGGAAAUGCCCGCUUAGUCUACGGUGUAAUGAAUAAGUUUCUUCUGGAGGAGGUUGAAGUCUUAAAUCAAGCAUAACAGGAAUCUGCUGCUUAACCCUCGCAGUGAUCGUUUGAUCGCCAAAGUCGUAGACGUCAGGUGCAUCAAAUGCAAAUGGCUCCGCAAGAGUGAAAAUUGAAUUUAUAUGCGCAUCUAUCAUUUGAGCAGACUCAUGAUUAUUUAAGUAUCCUAGUUCAACAGAUAAUUUUUUGCACUUUUCUCGGUUACGAUGAGCCGCCGCUAGUAAAAGUCGGCAAUAUUUCUUGAUGAACUUUUCAUCAUAUUCAAUUGAUGCUCCAAAAUCUAGUAAUUCAAUUUUUUUUGUUUUUCCGUUAUAUAAGAAGUUAGACCAAUUAGGGUCGGUUUGCAUAAAAUGGUAUUCAGAUAUCUCUCUUAGACAUUGUUUCGUCAGCAGAUAUCCUAUAUGGUUCCUUGUAGCUUGUGAAUAUUUUUGUUUUCCCAAAGCAAUACCAUGUAAGUACUCUAAUGUAAUUACGCUGGGUCCAGAUGCUUCUCGAAAUACCAUUGGGACUUUAAAAUCAGAAUCAUUUUUGAGCAACGAUCCAAACCUUUCAGCAAAAGCGGCCUCUCUUUCAUAAUCGCAUUCCCAUUUCAGUUCUUUCCUUGCGGCUGCUAAACUGUUUUCUAAAAACAAUCCUUUAGGAAGUAUUCUAGAAGCUUUCAACAAAUAAGCUAGGUUAUUCAAAUCCGAGUCAAUGGAAGACAUCACCCCAGGAUAUUGAACUUUCACCACAACUUCCAUGUGAUUAGAUGCUAAACGAGCUCGAUGAACUUGUCCAAUUGAAGCUGCCGCCAUUGGCUUUCUGUCAAAUUCUGAAUAGUGAGUCAUCCAAUUCUUUCCAAGGUUUUUAACCAUAACUUGCUCUAGUUGCUUUUCUGGCAUGGAAUGUGCUCCAUCACGUACACGCUCCAAAAUUUGAGAAACACGUGGGUCAAUCAGCUUACUAUCCUGGAAUGAAAGCAUUUGACCCAUUUUUAAAGCAGCACCACGCAUUUGAGUCAGUUUGUUCACCAAAAUCUCUACAUUUCUUUCAUUCAGUAACAAAGCUCCAUCGUCUUUGCUGAUUCCCCACAUCCUCUUCAUUUUCUCCCCUAUAGCCCCAACCGACAAGGAAGUUGCAAGGCCUCCGUAAUGCCAUAGACGACUCCAUUGGGACGAAGGAACUUUAGAAGAGGAAAGUAUAACCGGAGACUUAUUCUCAGUAGAGUAGCUUUCUUCAAUAGAGGAUUCAAAGUCUGCUGUAAAAUUGGCAUUCGUUGCAGGGUGUGAUUUUGUUACGUCUUUAAUACUAGAAUCAAUCGCUGAAGGUUUAGCAGGACUUAUUUCAUCUUUUUUAUUUGGUAAAAUCGGUUGCGAAAUAGGAUUUUUUAUUUCUUUAGAAGAUUGCUCCUGCAAAUGUUUGACACCGGAGGCAUCUUUCUGAACAUCUAAAGAAUUUCCCAAAAGCGUUCGUUUCGUAUCUUUAGAAGAUAACCCCAAUUCUUUUAUUUGGGAAGCAUGUUUGACUUUACCGUUUCUGUAUUUCUCCAAUAAUUGAACGUGCAGGUCACUUGUGGACCUUUUCGAACUGGUUAUUUUCGAUGCAUCAUACAGUUGUUUUGCUGUAAUUGACGAAGCUUCAGCCUUUAAAUAUGAUUUGGCAACAUUUCGAACUGCGGAUCCUAUUGUUAUAAGUUCCCAAAGCCCUGAAUUAGCCAUUUGUUCUGAUUAAAUAAGAGAAAAAUAAGCCUUGGAAUAAAAAGUGCUUCAAUUUCGAAUGGAAGGGCUUUCAAGUGAAUUUAUUUAUUUCAAAAACCAGACAUUUGAUUAUUUUCAUUAACUAGCCACUGUUAUAAUGGUUUUAUGAAUCCAAAAAUGAUAAAAGUUUAUGAUGGUUCCUAGCGGCGGUUACUUCAGUUAAGCAAUCGAACCAUAUGUAUGUACUUGAAGGGACGCGUGUACAGUAAAUUAAGGACAAUCAAUAAUUUUUUAUAUUUACUUUACAU
rnacentral:lncRNA from 1 species